rnacentral:rRNA from 1 species
AACGUAGGAGGCAAGCGUUAUCCGGAUUUACUGGGCGUAAAGCGCGUGCAGGCGGUCAAGUAAGUCGGACGUGAAAGCUCCCGGCUCAACUGGGAGAGGCCGUUCGAUACUACUCGACUUGAGGGCAGUAGAGGAAGGUGGAAUUCCGGGUGUAGCGGUGAAAUGCGUAGAUAUCCGGAGGAACACCUGUGGCGAAAGCGGCCUUCUGGACUGCUCCUGACGCUCAGACGCGAAAGCUAGGGGAGCGAACGGG